rfam:Flavobacterium sp. ABG contig01, whole genome shotgun sequence.
UAAUUUUGCACCCGUCUUACAAGAGAUGUAUGACAUACAUAAAAAUCAUUAAAUAAAUAUUGGAAUG